ACAAAUGUGAAGUGAAAGCGAAAUCCAUGAACUGAGAAGUAAGAUGUCCAUUGCAAUCAAGUCUCUUUUGUGAUAAAAAUUACUCCCACCGACAAUAUAUUGACAAAUGGAGACCUUUCCUUGGAAGCAAGGAACCCAAAGAUGUAAUCCACAAAAUUUCCAGACUUUUCAUUAUUCCUCCUCCUAAAGUUAAGCAACUCUCCAACAUUAACAUUUUAGCUACAGCCUCCUCCCCAACCUUACUACCCAACUCCUCCUCCCCUCCCAAUUAAUUUCUUCCUCACCCUUCAUCUGUUUCUCUCAGAUUUUUCUCUUCUUUUUUGUUUUUUCUUGACCGACGUUUUCUCAGUAAUGGGUGUCAAAGUUUUCAUGAUAUUUUUCAUGCUAACCAGUACAAUUCUGUUCUCUCUUGUAUACAUUCCAAGAAAAAUAUCCAUACCCAUAUCAAACUUCAGACCGAUUGUGAACUACUUGAACAUACAAAAAUCUAACAAAUCAUAUCCGGCAACCUUUGCCUACCUGAUCUCAGCAUCCAAAGGCGAUUCCGGGAAGCUAAAACGUCUGCUACGCGCACUGUAUCAUCCAGGUAAUUACUAUUUGAUUCACUUGGAUUACGGUGCUCCGGCAACGGAGCAUCGAGAUGUAGCCAAGUUUGUGGCCGGAGACCCAGUUUUCAGUCAAGUGGGAAAUGUCUGGGUUGUGAAGAAACCAAACUUGGUGACGUACAGAGGACCGACUAUGCUUGCCACCACUCUUCAUGCAAUGGCAAUGCUCUUGAGAACCUGCAAAUGGGAUUGGUUCAUAAACCUUAGCGCCUCCGACUAUCCCUUGAUUACUCAAGAUGGUAGGAUCUAAUUCAUGCCUUCUCUGAGUUGCCGAGACAUCUCAAUUUCAUACAGCACAGCAGUCACUUGGGUUGGAAACUGAACAAGAGAGCCAAGCCGAUAAUAAUAGACCCAGCACUGUAUAGACGCAACAAAUCUGAGAUUUGGUGGGUUAUUAAACAAAGGACCAUCCCUACAGCUUUCAAGCUCUAUACAGGUUCAGCUUGGACAAUAGUGUCAAGAUCUUUUGCCGAGUAUUGCAUAAUUGGGUGGGACAAUUUGCCAAGGACUCUCCUACUAUACUAUACCAACUUCGUCUCAACUCCUGAGGGAUACUUCCAGACACUUAUAUGCAACUCUAAAGACUACAAGAACACUACAGUUAACCAUGAUCUCCACUACAUUACCUGGGAUAACCCCCCGAAGCAGCACCCGAGGUCCCUUGGACUAGGAGACUUUAGGAACAUGGUUCUGUGCAACCGCCCUUUUGCCAGGAAGUUUAAGAAAAAUGACAGAGUUCUUGACAAAAUCGAUCGCCAGCUUCUCAAAAGACGCCGCGGACAGUUUGCUUUUGGUGGGUGGUGUUCUGGGAGUAGUACUGGAGAUCAGAAGCGCCACAAUACUUGCUCAGCCUUGCGAAGUGAGAACUAUGGUGUUUUGAGGCCUGGAGCAGGAGCUAGAAGGCUGAAAACUUUGCUCACAAGAAUUGUUUCCGAGAGGAGUUUCCGCAGGCAGCAAUGUAGAUGAUGAUUCUUUCAUGAUCAUAUAUAUGAAUUCUCCUUGUCAUAAUUAAUACAGUUGCUUGAUUUUUUUUUAAAAAUUUUGGGACAUGAGAAAGUUUUCAGAAUUAUGUGUCACAUGCCUGUUAGAUCUCUCAAGUUUAAUUGGUAAUAAACAGGAUUACAACAUACAUGUAUAAAGGUAAAAAUUGAAUUCAGUUGCUCUCUCUUUCUAUUUUUAA